rnacentral:sRNA from 1 species
GCGGUGAUUACAGGAUGUUGAAUGCGAG